UUGAAAAUCUAGCCUUUUCUAGUUUGAAAAGUUGGAAAAGUUUUAUUGUGAGCAGAUUUAUCUAUUGCUGGGAUAUAUCUUUUAAAUGGUUUCCUCCUAUAGAGAUAUAUUUAGCUCCCUUAAAAUAUAAUUCAGUUCCAAUUUGCCAUUUUUCUUGCCAGUAAGUCAAAGUGUCAUAGGAAAUAAAGGCAGAGACUCAUUAAAGUCCUAGGCUCUUAAAACAUUUUCUUUUCUUCCCUCAGAGCAGCAAAAUUGAGGGGAGGAGUGUGGCUACAGUGAAUGGGUGUCGCUGAGAAUCAUGAAUAGGGAGCACUUUGGUUGGAGAUUCAGAGCUCUGGAGUGUGACUGCGGAGGGAAGCAUGCAUGAAGAUCACUUUGGCUUUUGAAAUGUUAAGUUCCACCCAGUUGAAGAACUGCUCAAGAAGAGUCAGAUAGCUGGCUCAAUGGGUUAAAAAUUCUUGCCACACAAUCCUGAAGACUUGAGUUGAAUACACCGGAUCCACAAAAAUACAGUAGUAGUGUUUCACAACUGUAACUCCAAAACUUCUAUUGGGCAGUAGAAGGUCCAGUUUUUCUGCAACUCCCUCAGAUGUGCUUAAACCUCUUGAAAAGGACAUUGGACCAUGAUGCUCCUCCGGUAUUCUUUCUUUCUGCUCUGAGCCCUGGAUUGUUCCACAGAAUCCUUGUUCUCUCCUCUGACUCCCCUCCCUGUGGCUCAGUAGAAUUGGGGCUCACAUAUGAGGAGUAAUGGAUGGUGUUGGGAAAUUGCAAAUUUCACAUCUAAUCCAUGGGUUUGCUAACUAGAAGCGCCAGAAUGUGAUCAUGGUGCUGAGAGUGACAGGGUAGCCCUGCAUCCGGAAGGAGAACUGAAUUCUGUAGCUGGAGAGUUUCUCGGUCUGUGACUCUGAGCACUCACAGAAAGGAAAGGGUCACUCUUUGAUGGAGAAAACUGAGCAGUUGUUUCAAAUACAGAGCAUUUUAUUUCUCAGGGGUAAAGGAUGGUAUGGAUUAUGGCAUUUCCCAGGUAGAGUUGUGGAGUUCUGAGAAGGGAUUGUAUCAGGAAGAGAAGCGAGGGGGACACGAGUCCAGUGAGGGGGGGGCAGUAUUUAAGAUUCAAAAACUAGAUACUAUAGAUCAAACUAAACACUGAGAGAAAGGACUGGGUGCUAUUAAUGAAUUUUGCUCCAACUAACUAUUUUUAGAGGUGAGUGUUGCUCAGCGUUAGAACAUGUUUUAACACAUACAAGGCCUUAGGUGCAAUUCUCAGCCUAUGCACAUAUGAGAACUGUGCAGGGGUUUGGAUGCUGAUACAUUACGCUUCCAGAAUCUUCCUUUCACCAGGUGGUCCCACCGUGUUGGGGCACAGGAAGUGUCUUCUAGAAUGUUCUCCUGCUUCCUGAGCCCCUGAUAUUCUAGUAUAGGAAUGCUACUGUCUAGACAUCACCAUGGGAACUUGGGAGCACUUCCUGCUGAAUGACAGCUACAGCCUCACUCCGUUUUCAGAGAAAGCGUCUGUACUAGAAACAGUGCUCUCAUCACUUCAAGCUUCACGUGGCUUCUCCACUGAUUAGCUAACCCCAAAGAGCGCUCGAGAGUAUUGUUAUGAAUUCCUGCAAAUGUCAAGGUUCUUGAGAUAGUCAAGUCCUUCUCUGAAGUAGGAGAGGUAUGCCCUUCCUUGCUGUAGCUGAGACUCCAAAGUGAAACUCUGAGGGGAAGGACAAACACAAAGAAACCCAGGAUGCCACAUUUUGUUUGAGUACUGGAGUCAAGUCUUAGAGCACAAACUAUCUCAGUAAUAAAACCAAAGAGCUUGCAUUGAAGCCAAAGCACAAGAAAGGGGAACCCAGGACACUGACCUCAAGGCUUCCAGUUUCCUCAUCUGGGCAAUUAUAGCCAUGGUGGGAUCAACUAAGAUAAUGCAUAAGAGCCAGUGUAUAGAAGGUACCUUGCAAAUGCAUCUAGUGUCUUGGGAUAGUAAAUGGCAAGGCUCAUCUGUUAGGACUGACUAAUUCUUUAAAAUUAGACUGAAAGUCUAGAAGACCAUGUAAAUAUUAUCACAUUUCCUUGCUGUGUAAAGCCAACCUCCUCUAAAAUACAAAGAGAUGUAUACAAAACCUAAGUUAAGUAAUUGUUAAGCAUGCAAAUCUCAUUUUGGGGGGUCUUUUAAACAUAUACAAGAAUGACUAUUUUAAUUCUUCAGUAUAGUAUCAUUUAAAAAUUUGCACAUUUGCUUGCACUGGAAACUGCAGUUGUGUUUACUAAAACAUAUGGAUGUUUAUUAUAAAUUCUUCAUUCCUAGUGUAUGCUUCCACAUGUGCCUCUCAAGCUUACUGGAAUAUUUUAACCCUCAUAAAGUAAAUGUAUGCUAUAUAAAUGUGCAUAAUUGUGCUUCAUAAGAUAAUGUUCACCCUCAUCUUAAUUAUUUGAGUAACAUGCAAAUAUUUAAUUGAAUGUAAAAAUCGACCCUAUACAUAUUUAUUUGAUCUCUCUCGUCUCAGGGUAGACGUAGUGUGAUUAGUAUCAGAAUGAUUGCAAACAACUUCUGUGCAGAAGACGCCUCCAUCACCCAGAGUCCCAGCCUCACCCUCUGUCCUUGAGGAAAGCCUCCAAUCAGAGUUUGUGUAAUCUUGGAGUGGACGUUUCUUUAAUAUUAGUAAGAAAAGGGAAGAAAUCAAGUAAAGGAAGAUUUAUUCUUUAAGAGAAUCUGACACCACAGCCCGGGAAAGCAAGGCUCGCUUUGUCUAUCAACUUCUUAAACUCUCCUUGCUCCCAUUUCUUUCUUUAAAA